rnacentral:rRNA from 1 species
UACGUAGGGGGCAAGCGUUGUCCGGAAUCAUUGGGCGUAAAGAGCGUGUAGGCGGCCCGAUAAGUCCGCCGUGAAAGUCCAGGGCUCAACCCUGGAAUGCCGGUGGAAACUGUCGGGCUGGAGUCCGGAAGAGGCGAGUGGAAUUCCUGGUGUAGCGGUGAAAUGCGCAGAUAUCAGGAGGAACACCAAUGGCGAAGGCAGCUCGCUGGGACGGUACUGACGC